UGGGGAAUUUUGGACAAUGGGCGAAAGCCUGAUCCAGCAAUGCCGCGUGUGUGAAGAAGGCCUUCGGGUUGUAAAGCACUUUUGUCCGGAAAGAAAUCCUUGGCUCUAAUACAGUCGGGGGAUGACGGUACCGGAAGAAUAAGCACCGGCUAACUACGUGCCAGCAGCCGCGGUAAUACGUAGGGUGCAAGCGUUAAUCGGAAUUACUGGGCGUAAAGCGUGCGCAGGCGGUUUGCUAAGACCGAUGUGAAAUCCCCGGGCUCAACCUGGGAACUGCAUUGGUGACUGGCAGGCUAGAGUAUGGCAGAGGGGGGUAGAAUUCCACGUGUAGCAGUGAAAUGCGUAGAGAUGUGGAGGAAUACCGAUGGCGAAGGCAGCCCCCUGGGCCAAUACUGACGCUCAUGCACGAAAGCGUGGGGAGCAAAACAGGAUUAGAUACCCUGGUAGUCCACGCCCUAAACGAUGUCAACUAGUUGUUGGGGGAUUCAUUUCCUUAGGUAACGUAGCUAACGCGUGAAGUUGACCGCCUGGGGAGUACGGUCGCAAGAUUAAAACUCAAAUGAAUUGACGGGGU
rnacentral:rRNA from 1 species